rnacentral:lncRNA from 10 species
UUAUGUCUCCAUAAAGCUGUUUAUUUUUUUAAAAGACACACAAAAGAAGAAACUUUCCUGCAGCUCCAGCUGACCUUGCAGGCUGGCCUCUUCCGCUCUGACCUGUGCUCCCUAAGCUCCCUGCGAAGGAGAUAAAAUGAGCUCCUGGUCUGCAACAGCUAUUGGUUAUUGUAAUGUCUGCUUUUGUUUAAAAAGAAAAAAAGACCCAACUCCUUAUACAGUUUGAAUUGUAUAUAUUUGGGGAUCUCUGAGUUUCCUGUAUCUGGAUGUCUAAAUCUCUUACUAGACUUAGGAAGUUUUCAGCAAGAUGACUGGAUGAUCAUGUUUCAGCCUCUGUGAGACAAACAUUACAGCAGCAGAUGGCACAAGACCCAGGAGCCUGAGGAUGAACAUCACUGGAAUCCACACACUCAUCAGAUCUGUGCUUCCCAGGCAGCAGGCACCAGUUCCCCCUUUGCCUUCCACCAUGAUUGUAAGCCUCCUGAGGCCUUCAUCAGAUGCAGAUGCUGAUGCCAUGUUUUCUGUACAGCCUGCAGAACUGUGAGCCAUUUAAACCUCUUUAUAAAUUACCCACCCUCAGGUAUUCCUUUAUAGCAAUGCAAAAAUGGACUAAUACACAAUUUAGGAGCAAGGUGUAGGUAAGACAAGGAAAGGACUGGAAAAGGGUGAAGUGACUGCUGUAAGGACUGGUAACAUCAAUCACAUGGCUGUGAAAGGAGGGCAACAGUCCUGACUGGUGGAGAGAGCACACUUUAAACUCUGUGAAGGCAGAGGAGGGGCCGCUAACAUCUCAGCUACUUGUCUGCAGAGCCUCUGGACAAUUUAGCCCAGACUGCCACCACCACUUUCAACUCAAUGGCUGGCCAACAAAUCUUAAUCUAAGGACUCUCAGAAACUUCCCAGGAACUGCUGACUCAAGUAGUUAACAGCCUCCAUUCAGAACGAUAGAAUGAGAUUAACUUUCUGGAAACUAACAAAACUCUUUUGUACAAGAGCUUAAUAGAAUUGGACCCUGAUCCCAACUCAACACAAUGGCACUGCUGAGGUCACUACAACUUCUUACAUGAAAAGAAGCUACCUAUACUAGCUUGCCACACACAAAGUGGUCUAUUGUCUCUAAUGUACAUGGUAAUGGGACAAUAACACAUUACCCAGGACUUCCUGCUGGUCAGUCAAGGCAGGAUAUGUGCAACUGUCAGCAUCCCUUACUGCACCUGGGUUAAUGAAAUAUUUAACUGGCUUGGCUCCAGUUGGGGAGCCUAGCUGCAGUGUGUAUCCUCCAAGUGGGCCUAAUUAGAGACUCAUUCUUGUAUAUGUUGCCCAAAACAAUCAGAAUGUAUUUGGUUAAGGCCCCUAUAAGCACAGUUAAUUAGAGUAAUUUGAUGGGGUGGCCUAUGCUCCUGAGAAUUCUUAGCUAGCUAUUUGAAAAGUGAGGGAUGGAGCUGUAGAGAGUGGAUCUGCCAUGGUGCCCUUGUGACCUGGCAUGCAUAUAUCUAUGCAAGCUAGGCUUGAAUUGCAACUUAUCUGAGUCUUGGCAGGAUGUAUCAUGAUCCUCCCAGAACACAAGAGGAUGGGAGGGUGGUGAGGUGCUGUUUCAAGGCUAUCUCUAACCUCCUAAUCUCUCCUGGGAGGCUGCCACUGAGACAGACAGUUUCUCAUCUGAGUACUAUUGAGGUCUGAGGCUAUCUGCUCUGCCCCACUCAGGGUAUAGCUACAGAAUAUAAAACUGCUAGCUGCAGUCUAAAAGGGGCUCCUCAGCAAGGGAGUGUCCCAUAACUGGUGCAGCAAACAUGCAGGCCUUGUUUCAGAAGUCCUGUUUGGUGCAGGGAACAAGGACAUGGGGAGCUGGCACCUUUGGCCCAUCUUCCUCUUGCUGUCUAUGUAGGUAAUAAACUGAAUCUUAAAAGGACAUGUCAUUACUUUAGAAGCCAAAUCAAUCACUCUUGGGCUUGGCCUUUUUUUGACAAUGUGGUAGUUAUGUACAAGAGUGUCUUUGUUUUUGAGAAUUGUACACUGGAGUGUUUAGGACUGAUGGAACAUGUCUGCAACUUGGUCUCAAAUGGUUAAGAAAAAGCCAUAUGAUAAUGGUGGUACACACAUGCACGCAUGCAUGCUGCAGAAAUGUGAAGUGUUACCAAUUGAACAAUCUGGAUGAAGUGAACAUGGGAGUUCUUUGUACUAUUCCUCCAACUUUUUGGUAAGUUUAUAACAAGUUACUUUUUAAAAUCUACUGAGCUUAAGGCCAGGGGGAAGUCUUAUUUUUCACUUUGAACUCUUCUGUAAAUUGUGUUUUGAAUUUCUACAAUGAGUAUGUAUUACUUUCUUAAUACAAAAUUAAAGUGUCCGAUUUUUAAAAUCACAAAAGUAAUAUAAUAAAGGAAACUUGAAAAAUGUG